rnacentral:rRNA from 1 species
GACGAACGCUGGCGGCGUGCUUAACACAUGCAAGUCGAACGGAAAGGCCCUGCUUGCAGGGUACUCGAGUGGCGAACGGGUGAGUAACACGUGGGUGAUCUGCCCUGCACUUCGGGAUAAGCCUGGGAAACUGGGUCUAAUACCGGAUAGGAGCCAUUUUUAGUGUGUUGGUUGGAAAGUUUUUUCGGUGUAGGAUGAGCUCGCGGCCUAUCAGCUUGUUGGUGGGGUAAUGGCCUACCAAGGCGGCGACGGGUAGCCGGCCUGAGAGGGUGGACGGCCACAUUGGGACUGAGAUACGGCCCAGACUCCUACUGGAGGCAGCAGUGGGGAAUAUUGCACAAUGGGCGCAAGCCUGAUGCAGCGACGCCGCGUGGGGGAUGACGGCCUUCGGGUUGUAAACUCCUUUCGCUAGGGACGAAGCUUUUUGUGACGGUACCUAGAUAAGAAGCACCGGCUAACUACGUG